rnacentral:rRNA from 1 species
UGAGUAAUGUCUGGGAAACUGCCCGAUGGAGGGGGAUAAUUACUGGAAACGGUAGCUAAUACCGCAUAACGUCUUCGGACCAAAGUGGGGGACCUUCGGGCCUCACACCAUCGGAUGUGCCCAGAUGGGAUUAGCUAGUAGGUGGGGUAAUGGCUCACCUAGGCGACGAUCCCUAGCUGGUCUGAGAGGAUGACCAGCCACACUGGAACUGAGACACGGUCCAGACUCCUUACGGGAGGCAGCAGUGGGGAAUAUUGCACAAUGGGCGCAAGCCUGGAUGCACCCAGGCCGCGUGUAUGAAAAAAGGCCUUCGGGUUUGUAAAGUACUUUUCAGGGGGGAAGGAAGGGCGUUAAGUUUAAAAACCUUUGGCGAUUGACUUUCCCCCCAAAAAAAGCACCGGCUAACUCCGUGCCAGCACCCGCGGUAAUACGGAGGGUGCAAGCGUUAAUCGGAAUUACUGGGCGUAAAGCGCACGCAGGCGGUCUGUCAAGUCGGAUGUGAAAUCCCCCGGG